rnacentral:rRNA from 1 species
UACGGGGGGAGCAAGCGUUGUUCGGAUUUACUGGGCGUAAAGGGCGCGUAGGCGGCCACGACAAGUCACUUGUGAAAUCUCCGGGCUUAACCCGGAAAGGUCAACUGAUACUGUGCGACUAGAGUGCAGAAGGGGCAACUGGAAUUCUUGGUGUAGCGGUGAAAUGCGUAGAUAUCAAGAGGAACACCUGCGGCGAAGGCGGGUUGCUGGGCUGACACUGACGCUGAGACGCGAAAGCGUGGGGAGCAAACAGG